CGCAUCUGUGCAUGCAGCAUAUCAAUAAGCGGAGGAAAAGAAACUAACAAGGAUUCCCCUAGUAACGGCGAGUGAAGCGGGAAGAGCUCAAAUUUGAAAUCUUAAAGGGUUUCCCUUUACGAAUUGUAGUUUAAAGAAGUGUUUUCUGUUGAGGUUUUGGUAAAAGUUCUUUGGAAUAGGACCUCAUAGAGGGUGAGAAUCCCGUAUUUGACCUUUACUUUCAACUUUGUGAUACACUUUCAAAGAGUCGGAUUGUUUGGGAAUGCAGUCCAAAAUGGGUGGUAAAUUUCAUCUAAAGCUAAAUAUUGGCGAGAGACCGAUAGCGAACAAGUACCGUGAGGGAAAGAUGAAAAGAACUUUGAAAAGAGAGUUAAACAGUACGUGAAAUUGUCAAAAGGGAAGCGUUUGACACCAGUGUUGUUUUUCUGAAAAUCAAUUAAAGAACUGUUUAUGCUAAGCUGUUUAGACUUAUCAGCUAUCUGUUUAGUUUUGAGCUUUUCUUUAAUGCACUUUUCAGUUAACAAGUCAACAUCAAUUUCUUUUGCUGUAAAAAAGCUUGAGGAAGGUGGCUUGAGAUUCGUCUUAAGUGUUUAUAGCCUCUUGCCUAUGCAGUCGGAGAGAUUGAGGUCUGCAGCGUAGAUCCUUCGGGGCUAAAUGCAUUUGUGCUAAGUUAUAGCAUUUUAUAGACAACUUGUUGACUAUGAUUUGUCUUGUAGCUUACUCGCUUAUGUUAUUUUACCUACGCUUAGGAUGUUGAAUCUGUGCGAGACUAC
rnacentral:rRNA from 1 species